UGGAAAGUUAUAUAUAUAUAGAGAGAGAGAGUGUGUGUGUGUGUUCGACUACUAUACUUUUAUAAGUAUAGGUCUCUUUGUACUUAUAAGGUUUCGAUCGUUAGAUCUACUCUUUUGAUCAGUUUCACCCGUUAGAUCAUCAUACUAUUCAACCAAUCACCUAUUCAACCCUAGGGGACAAUUAUUAACCUAAUCGGGGACCACUAUCAUCCUAACAACACAUCUUUUUAUCGAACGGCUGAAAACUUAUGAAUACAAAGGGACUUAAACUCAUAAAAAUAUAGUAGUCCUAGCCUCUCUCUCUCUCUCUCUAUAUAUAUAUAGAGAGAGAGAGUGUCCUGCUGGGAUACUAUCGAUAUAGCACCAAGGGCUUGGUGCUAUCGAGUUUUCCGCUGUUAUAUUUAACCCUGAUCAUUUUUAUCCGUUAGAUUAUACUAUUAAAUCAAUAACUCACUCAACCCUAAGGGGCUCACAUCAUCCUAACUACAUAUUUUUUAAUCCAAAGGCCGAAAACCUAAUAGCACAAAUAAUUUAGUACUAUUGAUAGUAUCCCAGCCUCGUUCUAUAUAUAUAUAUAUAUAUAUAUGCACACACACAUGUUUUUUUUUUUAUUUUAAAUGAAGAUAAAAGGAGUUUCUAGAAGCGAAAGGUUUUUAACAAGGUGAGCACGUUCAUAAUUUCAUAAACUAUCUAAAUAAGAUGUAUUAUAUAUGUAGAUAUUUUUUGCAAACUAUGUUGAUAACACAAAGAACUCCUAAAUAUAAAAUUUUUAUUUUAAUAUCUCAUCUUUUUAAUUUGUCUAUUCCAAUCCAUAUAGUAUCUUAGCUACCGUUUGGUUCGGGGUUAAGAAAAAACUAGUUAUUUCAGGGAUAGGGUUAAGUUCAGGGUUAAGCUCGGGUUAGAGUAUUUUUGUGUUUGGUUGGAGUUUGGAGUUAGUUCAGGAUAGUGGAAAAUAGUGUUUGGUUAGAAUAGGUAGGAUAAGAAGGAUAGUGGGUUAUUAUGAAUAGAAAAUAAUAUUUGGUUCGGAUUUCGUCAGGUUAGGUGGGGUUAGUUAAUCCGCAAUAGCCCAUUUGAGAUGGAAUUAGCUAACCCCACCAAUUUUUGAAGGUGUUUAAAGAUAGCAUGAGG
rnacentral:lncRNA from 1 species